GCGAGGGCGACCGAGCGUGGGAAGGAAGCAUGGAACGAAACCGCGAGCCGAUGGACAAGAACCGGAUAGCAGGCGGCGCCGACCAGGGCGAGCAGGCAACAUACUGCGAAGCUCUCGUGGCCAAGGGUCAGGCGGCGUAAAUCCGGCGGUUGCGCGGAGAAGGAUCGCGUUC
rfam:Candidatus Muproteobacteria bacterium RIFCSPLOWO2_01_FTLL_60_18 rifcsplowo2_01_scaffold_19339, whole genome shotgun sequence.